UCUCAUCAUCGGAAUGAAGUAAGAGAGUUGGGUUCACGGAGUUUUCAAUGAGGAGAAUAAUCCAACCAAGCUCAAGCUGGUCUGCCAGCUGCAAAACCCAGGUUGCUUUUGGCUGUAUCUGUGGAGCCGUCUGUGAUCUGUGAUCUGUAAACUGUGAACUGUGAACCGUGAAGAUGAAGCUUUUGCUGCCGCGUUGCCUUAUCAUGGACCUGACUUUUACCACUGCUUACAUCUGUACAUGUAUUUUCUCUUUGUUUUGGCCGUCGACUGUCCAGCAGCAGCUCCUCUGGAUCUCUUUCCUCCCUUUAACAACUCUUCAUAGAUAUUAUAUAUAUAAAUAUAUUCUGUUUCUCAGUUGGAAUCGGAGGUCAUUAAAGAGAUUGCUGGGGUUAUUGAAAGCUCGGAAUGUGAGGCAGCUGUUGCAACUCUUAAUUUUUUUUUUUUUUUUUUUGGGAGGGGCAGAGAGAGAAAUUAAGAGGCAGAAAGUUAAGGGAGAUGAAACAGUCGGAGCUUAAUUAUAAGAUAGAUAGAAUCGAUUAUGCUUGCUCUUGGACUUGGAGUUGUGCACCUUUCCCUCUGUCACCAGUUUCAUGCCAACAUCUCUAUCUGAAAAAGUGUAGUACUAGUGGUGCAAUUGAUCUGCCUGGCUCCCUGAGUGCCAUCUAAGGAGAAUGUGUCAAUAGUGUUUGACACUCUUCCUAGUUGGCAUCAGGGGAGUCAUGCAGAUUGCAGACCCAGUAAUUAAUUAAAUACAGGCCCACAAUUUUCAGUUUAUUCUUCUUCUAGAUCUGCCGUAAUCGUCUAGCUAUCAAACCAAACCAUAUUAUUCAAUUUUCUUUAAAACUAAUGUUUUUGAAUCGCCGUUGAUCCGGACGGUGAUUCCGGUACCGGCCGGUCGGUAGGUGUAUAUAUAUGGGUCCCCCAUUCCCCAAUUUUAUGGAACGGUGCAUGCAUCUAAUGAGGACUCAUGGCAAGCCAGCGAUCGAUGGAUCACGGUGUGGAUAAGAUAAAGACUUAAGAGAUGGAAAUGGGCGUAUCGGAUACAUAGAGCAGGAAUAAUUCAUGAGUGGUCACACUCACACAACUAAUCAAGUAAGUGAAUUUCUGAUGAUCUUCAUAGAUAUUUGUUACCUGCAAAUAUGAAAGGGAACACGAGAGUGUUCACUGAAGUCGUCAUCUGAUCAUGAUAAUAUAUAGAAAGCAGGUUCGGAGCAAUGUGGACCAAGUAAUAAUUUGUUCUUUCAUCUUCAUGCGAUUUGUUUAUGCAGUUAAAUAUGCAUUAGUUGUUCAUUUCUUGUAUCAUAUAUAGUUUUUUUUGGAGCCCUAGCGAUACACGAGGUCAAUUAAUUUAGGGCAUGUUUGUUUGAUUUGAAGUUUGGUAUUUAAGAGUGUAAUAAGUAUAUUAAGAGGUAUAUUGGUAUCGGUGAAUUUUUAUUUUUUCUUAAUU